rnacentral:rRNA from 1 species
GUGUCAGCCGCCGCGGUAAAACGUAGGUGGCGAGCGUUAUCCGGAUUGACUGGGCGUAAAGGGUGUGCAGGCGGGGUGUCAAGUGGUGUGUGAAAUCGCCGGGCUCAACCGGGCGAGGUCAGGCCAGACUGAUGCUCUAGAGUGCGGGAGAGGGGCGUGGAAUUCCGGGUGUAGUGGUGAAAUGCGUAGAGAUCCGGAGGAACCCCAGAGGCGAAGGCGGCGCCCUGGCCCGACACUGACGCUGAGACACGACAGCAUGGGGAGCGAACGGGAUUAGAAACCCGCGUAGUCC